AUGAAGAGGAAGCCACUCUUGCUAUGUCCAAAGCAAUGCAAAAUUGAAAAAGACAAGUACAAUAAUCAGGAGCCAAGUCCCAUUGAGUUUUUUAAAGAGACCCAUACUAACAGCAUGAGCGAGCCGACACAUCUAGCUUAUAUUGAGUUAGUGGUGAGACUUGAAGCACAAGCGAGAGCAUUUGAAGAGGUGCAGAGGAAGCAACACGAAGAAUUGGAAGGUGUGAAGAAGAUCGAGCAAGAGAAGAAUGAAGCCUGGCAAAAGAAGCAACAAGAGACGGAUAACCCGAUUGGUUUUCUCUUAAGGGCUCAAGCAACUCAGCAAGCAACUUAG
rnacentral:rRNA from 1 species